rnacentral:rRNA from 1 species
CUGUUCACCACGAAUGCCCUCACUGCCACGGUGACCAUGCCCACGGGCACGCCCUGGUGGCUAUCGGUCGUGUAUGGACCUCAGGACGACACGGACAAAAUCGCGUUCCUGCAAGAGCUGCGGGAGAUCCGCACGGCCUACCCAGGGCCAUGGAUGCCGUGCGGCGACUUCAACCUUAUCCUCCGCUCUGAGGACAAGAGCAAUGGUAACCUGAACAGGCGAAUGAUGGGCAGGUUUCGCCGCCUUGUCAACGACCUCGCUCUGAAGGAAAUCUACCUCAACGGGUGCCGCUUUACAUGGUCCAACGAGCAGUCCCCGCCUACCCUGGUGCAUCUGGACCGCGUGCUCUGCAUCUCGGACUGGGAAGACGCACACGACGAGUGCCAUCUCCGCUGCCUUGCGUCCGUCGUCUCGGACCAUUGCCCAUUGUUGUUGGAUUGCGCACCCAUGCCCGCGUCGCAUAGGCGUUUCCAUUUUGAGGAUUUCUGGCUUAGGCUCGAUGGAUUCCAUGACACGGUGGCUGCGGCUUGGGGCUCGGCUUAUGACCCGGAUCCCUUCCAUCGC